GUUCGAUUAUGGCUCCAGAUUGAACGCUGGCGGGAUGCUUUACAUGCAAGUCGAACAUGCUGGACUUCGGUCUGAGGUGGCGAGUGGCGAACAGGUGAGUAUUAUAUCGGAACGUGCCUAGUAGCGGGGAUAACACAAAGCGUAGCCUAAUACCACAUACGCCCUUCAAAGGGGACCUUCGGAGCUCCACUGCACUAUUUGAAACGGCCGAUAUCGGAUUAGCUAGUUGGUGGGGUAACGGCUCACCAAGGCGACGAUCCGUAGCUGGUUGAGGACGACCAGCCACUGGGACUGAGACGUACAGACUCUACGGGAGCAGCGGUGAAAUUUUUGGACAAUGGGGAGCGCAGUCAGCCAUCCGCAUUAAUUUGCCGAUGAAGGCCUUCGGGUUGUAAGCACUUUGGCAGGAAAGAAACGGCACGGGAUAUGCCCGUCACAACCCAGCCAAUACCUACAGAUGAGCACCGGCUAACUACGCGUGUGGCCAGCCGGUAAUGCGGAUUAUAAGCGUUGAUCGGUGCGGGCGUAAAGCGUGCGCAGGCGGGUUCGGAAGAAAAGAUGUCAAAUCCAGGAAACUGGCUGGAACUGCAUUUUUAACUACCAUGAAGCUGGAAAAUUGUGUCAGAGGGGAGGUGGAAUUCGCGAUGUAGCAGUGAAAUGCGUAGAUAUCGGAGGAACGUGUGAAAGGCAACCUCCUGGGAUAACACUGACGCUCAUGCACGAAAGCGUGAGGAACAAAACGGAUUAGAUACCUGUUGGUCACGCCUAAACGAUGUCAACUAGCUGUUGGGGCCUUCGGGCCUUGGUAGCGCAGCCACUGGCGUGAAGUUGACCUGCAAAAUGCGAUCAUGAAUUAAAACUCAAAGGAAUUGACGGGGACCCACACCAAGCGGUGGUUAGUGGAUUAAUUACUGUAGCGAAAAACCCACCUACCCUUGACAUGUCCGGAUCGAAGAGGUUGCAGGAGUGCACUCGCAGGGGAACCGGAACACAGGUGCUGCAUGGCUGUCAGUCGGCUCGUGUCGUGAGAUGUUAGGUUAAGUCCGCAACGAGCGCAACCCUUGUCAUUAGUUGCUACGAAAGGGCACUCCUAAUGAGACUGCCAGAAGUGACAAACCGGAGGAAGGUGAGGAUGACGUCUCGAAGUCCUCACUGGCCCGUUAGGAGCUCACACGUCAUACAAUGGUCGGGACAGGUCGCAGCCAACCCGCGAGGGGAGCCAAUCCCGAAACCCGAUCGUAGUCGGAUCGCAGUCUGCAACUCGACUGCGUGAAGUCAGAAUCGCCAGUAAUCGCGGAUCAGCAUCGUGAUGGUACGUUCCCGGGUCUUUGUACACACCACCCGUCACACCAUGGAAUUGGGUUUACCAAGUAGUUACAGCCUAACCGUAAGGAGGGUGAUUACCACGGUAGGAUUCAUGACUGGGUGAAGUCCGUAACAAGGUAG
rnacentral:rRNA from 1 species